rnacentral:rRNA from 1 species
AGGACGAACGCUGGCGGCGUGCUUAACACAUGCAAGUCGAGCGGAAAGGCCCUUCGGGGUACUCGAGCGGCGAACGGGUGAGUAACACGUGAGUAAUCUGCCCCUAGCUCUGGGAUAGCUCCGGGAAACCGGGAUUAAUACCGGAUACGACCACCUUAGACAUCUUUUGUGGUGGAAAGAAUUUCGGCUAGGGAUGAGCUCGCGGCCUAUCAGUCUUGGUUGGUGGGUAACGGCCUACCGAAGGCGACGACGGUA